AAAUACGGCGGGGUGGGGGGGAGCGGGGGGCAGCUCUUCUCUCAGGGUGCUCGGCGGCUUUGGAGGGUGCUGUUGCGUUCAGCUGGAAGGGUCAUCUUUGUAAAUGUAGAAACUCCUGGGAAAGGUUAUCAAUUACAGUUUACUAAUAAUACAGACACUUAAAAAAAAAAAAACCUGCAAGCCUCAAGUGGCUUCCUCUUUGCCUCAGUUCUCAGCCCCCCUCGUCAGGCCGGGAUCACCCUCCCCGGGCACGCUGGCUCCGGGAAGCACAGCAGGCCAAGCCCUGAGGCCGCCCAGGCCUUCUGUGAGGCAUGGCUGGCCAGCUGUGGGGAUGCCCGAAGAGCAGUCAUGGCUGGAAACUGAAAAGGACCCAGACAAUGUUUGUUGCGUUUGGUUUGUCCUGAGGACAGGCACCCUUCGACAGCGCAUCUCCCUCAAUUCCCAUACCUGUUCGCUGGCCUGACCCUGGUAAACUGGAUUUUCCUCCCUCUCCACACCCAGAAGAGAGCCAGCUUUACCCUCACAGCUGGCUUGAAGCCACAGUGGUUCGUCAAUCUUUGAGGAAACCUGUAUCCAAACCAGCUGGGAAAACCCCAGCACCCAGACCCUCUGUUGAGGAGAGAUCUGGGGAUGGCCAGGAAUGCGACAUACUGCCCAUGGAUGUGCGGUAGAGGUUUGACCAAGUCUGCCUUGCCCCGGACACUUGUCUGUGCCUCAAAACUAGGCAAGUAUGCUCCCUUUUUCAUUACUUCCUCCUUUUGUUGCUUCCCACAGUCUCUACCGAAGCCAAAGAGGCAAAGCCUGUUCCUAGUGAGACCUGACGACAUGAAUCUUCCACUGCAGCUUCAUGUAAUUCCAUCCUUAGGCUAGCCAUACCAGGACGAGACAGAAGAUGGCACUCGAACAGCACCAGAUGAACAACUAUCACACUUAACAGGCCGCACAGGGAAUAAACAUCUGUGGAGUACUCGACACAAUCCUUGGAAGUGACAUUUCACCACCCAGCUGUUCUACGGCAGUCUUCAAGUCACCACCAGUUUUUGGUACAAGAAUGGAUCUACAUUUCCACUUCAGCCUUGAUCUUCAGCACUGACUCAAUUUCCAGUCCGCUCACAAGACUGCUCACGCAACUGACAUGUUGCUGCUUUAUGUUUCAUUAAAAACAAAGUCACUCCA